rnacentral:lncRNA from 1 species
GACCGAAGCUAAACUAAUACCUGCUCCGGGUUGUUACGGGGCUCACGGGAUCUUCAGCCCUGAGAUUCGAAUCAGGAGGAGCCGGAAGGGAAGUGACUCGAAGUUGAAAUAGGUCAGCAGGGAUCGCCACUACUAUUUCUGAGAUAUUAAGAAAGGUUAAACAAGGUCACCCAGAAAACCAUGAAAGAGCCAUUACGGACCCUUGAGACCACUUAUCCUUAGCAGGGAUCUAAUCCUGGUGGACCCUGAUUCGUUAUAACCAAUUCAGGAAGAGAGGUUAUUUUCUUCUGAGGAAGUCGUCUGUAAGGACUAUGCUCUCCCUAACCCCAGCUGGACUAAGGACCUAAGACUCCUUUUUGACCAGUUCAUGAAGAAAUGUGAAGAUGGCUCCUGGAAACGUUUGCCUUCAUACAGACAAAACCCUCCUCAAGCCCUUCAAGAGUUCCAAACCCACUUUGUUGACUCAAAGUUUAAGAAAGAAGAACAAAUGUCAAAGGCACAACAGUUCACCAGAAGCUUAGAAGAAGGACUAGGCUUUGAGUACGCGAUGUUCUAUAAUAAGGCUGAGAAGAGAAUUGUCUGCUUGUUUCAAGGAGGUCUUCACCUGCAAGGAAUGCCUGGAUUUGUUCAUGGAGGUGCCAUUGCAACCAUCAUCGACAUCACUGCCGGCAUGUGUGCAUUUUCUGAGGGCAUUGUCAUGACUGCCAAUCUCAACAUCGA